rnacentral:rRNA from 1 species
UACAUGGGGUGCAAACGUUGCUCGGAAUUAUUGGGCGUAAAGCGCACGUAGGCGGUUCGUUAAGUCGGAUGUGAAAGCCCUCGGCUCAACUGAGGAAGUGCACCCGAAACUGGCGAGCUUGAGUACGAAAGAGGAUCGUGGAAUUCCUGGUGUAGCGGUGAAAUGCGUAGAUAUCAGGAGGAACACCGGUGGUGUAAACGGCUUUCUGGACCAUAACUGACGCUGAGGCACGAAAGCGUGGGUAGCAAACAGG